rnacentral:rRNA from 1 species
UACGUAGGGUGCGAGCGUUGUCCGGAAUUAUUGGGCGUAAAGGGCUCGUAGGCGGUCUGUCGCGUCGGGAGUGAAAACUCAGGGCUUAACCCUGAGCCUGCUUCCGAUACGGGCAGACUAGAGGUAUGCAGGGGAGAACGGAAUUCCUGGUGUAGCGGUGAAAUGCGCAGAUAUCAGGAGGAACACCGAUGGCGAAGGCAGGUCUCUGGGCCACUACUGACGCUGAGAAGCGAAAGCGUGGGGAGCGAACAGG